CUUCCUCCUGCAUCUCCCAGGCCGGAUCCCAGACAGCCUGAAGAACUGUGUCAACAAGGACCAUCUGACGGCCGCCACCCACUGGGCCAGCAUGGACCCCGCCGUCGUGCACCCUGAGCUCAACGGGGCUGCCUAUAGGUACCCUCCGGGCGUGGUGGGCGUGGCCCCCACUGGCAUCCCAGCUGCUGUGGAAGGUAUCGUCCCCAGCGCCAUGUCCCUGUCCCACGGCCUGCCCCCUGUGGCCCACCCACCCCACGCCCCUUCUCCUGGCCAAACCGUCAAGCCCGAGGCGGAUAGAGACCACGCCAGUGACCAGUUGUAGCCCGGGAGCUCUCCAGCCUCGGCGCCUGGGCGAAGGGCCCAGAAACCCUCGGACCAGAGUGUGGAGGAGGCACCUGCGUGGCGGCCCUGGCACUGCAGAGACUGGUCCGGGCUGUCAGGAGGCGGGAGGGGGCAGCGCUGGGCCUCGUGUCGCUUGUCGUCGUCCGUCCUGUGGGCGCUCUGCCCUGUGUCCUUCGCGUUCCUUGUUAAGCAGAAGAAGUCAGUAGUUACUCUCCCAUGAACGUUGUCUGUGUACAGUUUUUAGAACAUUACAAAGGAUCUGUUUGCUUAGCUGUCAACAAAAAGAAAACCUGAAGGA
rnacentral:sRNA from 1 species